CAGUGCUAUUGAAAUCAUCUUGUCUAUUUAUUAGUUUCCAUAUUUAUUGUCUGUCACGCCCACCAGAAUAUAGGUCUCAUGGGGACUAGGAGCCUUGAUUUCUGCCAAUGAGGUUGUUUUUGAGAGUUUUCUCCAAUCAACCUCCUGCGAGGAAGCUUUGUCUCAAGAUCUGCUUUCUGGUGAAGCUGACCCGAGACAUCUCUGACUAUAUGCCCACAACUGCUGUGACAAAACACAGAUACUUGACUGAAGCUCAGUUAUCAGUACUGAGCAGAGAACUGAAAAUAAAUGCCUACUGAUAAGAAGUCAGUGCCAUCAUUCCAAAUGCAUUAGCUGGUCUUCAGAUUAUAAUUUCAAUGUUUGUAAAUAAAUACUUGG
rnacentral:lncRNA from 1 species